rnacentral:rRNA from 1 species
CUUUCCGACCAAAUCUCCCUAAAUGUGCCCAAACUCACCUGAACUUCUAAGCUAAGCAGAUUUUAGCCUGGUUAGUACUCGAAUGGGUGGCCACCAGGGCUUGUCAGGUAUUGCAGGUA